rnacentral:rRNA from 1 species
GUUGUUGGGUAGGGGAGCGUUCUGUAAGCCUGCGAAGGUGUGCUGUGAGGCAUGCUGGAGGUAUCAGAAGUGCGAAUGCUGACAUAAGUAACGAUAAAGCGGGUGAAAAGCCCGCUCGCCGGAAGACCAAGGGUUCCUGUCCAACGUUAAUCGGGGCAGGGUGAGUCGACCCCUAAGGCGAGGCCGAAAGGCGUAGUCGAUGGGAAACAGGUUAAUAUUCCUGUACUUGGUGUUACUGCGAAGGGGGGACGGAGAAGGCUAUGUUGGCCGGGCGACGGUUGUCCCGGUUUAAGCGUGUAGGCUGGUUUUCCAGGCAAAUCCGGAAAAUCAAGGCUGAGGCGUGAUGACGAGGCACUACGGUGCUGAAGCAACAAAUGCCCUGCUUCCAGGAAAAGCCUCUAAGCAUCAGGUAACAUCAAAUCGUACCCCAAACCGACACAGGUGGUCAGGUAGAGAAUACCAAGGCGCUUGAGAGAACUCGGGUGAAGGAACUAGGCAAAAUGGUGCCGUAACUUCGGGAGAAGGCACGCUGAUAUGUAGGUGAAGUCCCUCGCGGAUGGAGCUGAAAUCAGUCGAAGAUACCAGCUGGCUGCAACUGUUUAUUAAAAACACAGCACUGUGCAAACACGAAAGUGGACGUAUACGGUGUGACGCCUGCCCGGUGC